rnacentral:lncRNA from 12 species
AUGCGAACUAACUGCACCGCCUGGUAGCAUCUGAGCCCAUCCUCCCGGGUAUUGGACAUCUCCAGGGAGCAUUAUCUCCAUGAGAAUGAGAAAAAUGACACUGCAGGAUGGAACAGUGGUGUUAAUGGGUCACUGAGUGACAGCUGAGCCUUCUCUCAGAGGUAUUUUAAGAGAAUGCUAAAUUUUCCAGAAACUUUAAG